UUUCAAAUCCCUAAUUCUCUUCACAACAUUCUCAUCAAAUUACACAUAUUUAACUCCACAAUUUCACAUCUACAAUCCCUUAUUCACUUCUUCUUUGUUCAUUUAUUCUUCGUUUUGCUUCAAAACCCUAGUUGAUUUAUUCUUCGAAUGGUUUGUGAUGGUGGGGAGGUGUCGUUUUGUGGCGGCAGGGUUGCGGGUUUGGAUGGCGGAUCGGUGACGGUGAACGGACCCCUGGGUUUGAAGAAUACAACCACCACCGACGCAGUUGACGGUGUAAAAUGAGAUUUUAGUCUGGGUUUACAUUGAUGUAUAUAAAUUGUUUGGGGAUUUAUGGAUUUUUUUACUGAUAUCUAGUGUUUUGAGUUAGGUUAAUUAAUUCUUGUAUAGAUGUGAAUAAAUUUUAACAAAGUUUCUCAAUCCAGUUUUUUUCUAGUUUGCUAUAAACUUAGCAGGAUACUAGAAGAAGAUGCUGGGUGAAUUCAUCAUAAACAGUCUUGUGUUGAACGAAAUAAAGCCAUCAACAGGUUAUGGGUACAGGUUGAACAAUUUUUGUCUAACUUUACAUUGA
rnacentral:lncRNA from 1 species